UUUUAAUUUUAUUUGGAAAGAAAAAAGUCGCAGAUCAAAGUUUGCGUUCAGCUUCUCCCAAAAAUAAAACACACUGCGUUUUCUACCGAUCUCUCUCUCGAUUCUAGGUUUUGCUCUCUCUCGAUCUCUCUCCCGAUCUCGUUUCCCUCUCAAUUUGGAUCUCGCUUCCGAUCUCGAUUUCUCUCUCUCUUUGGAUCUCGUUCUCACUCUCGAUAACACGUUCUCGUCAAGGUUUUCUAACUUGAUUUUGAAAGUAUUGAUUUUGACAAUACUUGAUUUUGAAAGUUAUCUAACUUGAUUAAAGAAACUUUGGGGCAAAAUCUCUUCAUUUUAGGUACCUUGGACACAAGUGAGCAAGUCAAGGCCAUUGUUGUUAAUCGCUGACUUUGUCGACAGAAACCGUAAGCUUUUCUCAGGGAUCAGUGCAUUUUUCCUUAGCCUGAUAUCUUAGUAUGACAAUCCGAGGUAGAGGAGGUACGUAGACGGAGUCAAGAGAGUGGUCGCAAUCAACUUCACUCUUCACCUUUGCGAGGUGUGCAUAUUGACCGGAACAAAAGGCAAAGGUUAGGGAUGGUUGAUGCAUUAAAGCAUAAGCAUAAAUUCACUUAUGAUUUUGAAGAUCUCUAUGAUGAUAUUGAAGAUGAAGAGACGCAAUUAAUCAAGAAGAGAAAUUAUCAACGACAAUUACUCAAGCGCCAAAAAAUUGAUGCAUAUAAUGUAAAAGAAGGUAAAGGAGUGAGUUUUGAAAUUUCCAACAAUAUGGGACAAUCUAGUAGAAGAAUUAUAUACAAUCAAGGGAGAGAGCGUAAUGACCGACCAGAACCUUCUCAGUCUUGCACUAGUCCAGCACCACCACCUCCACGUGCACAAUUCUGCAGAGGUAUUUCUCUACUGCGACUUGUUUAUCAUUAAUGUCAUAAAGUUGCACCAUGACAAUACAUUCAUCAUGUAUACUUUUUCGGUGUAGUCUAAAUAUUAUUUGUUUAGUGCUAAAGUUGUUUCCAGUAGCACUAUCUAAUUUAAUAUAUCUACAUUGCUGGACCUGUCUUAGGUAUCUCUUCCACAAAACUUGAACCACAUUGGUCAAGUCACUAAGAUGUGUCUUUAAAGGGAAAAAGAAUCUUGAAAUUCUAUAAACAGUUCUCUUCUGUUUAAUUUCCAACAGUAUAUAAUAGCCAGAGCUUGAUAGAGAAUUUGAGAGCAUAUUUAACUGAGUUUUCAUCAAAUUUAACAGAGGUUAUCCCUCAAGUUUCUUGCCUUUUCUUCAGCAGAAAAUUGUUAUAUACUUGAACUUUGUCAUGUUAGAAACUAUAUUUCAUUAAAAGAUGUGUUUGUGUCCGAUGUUUGUGGUCGACACUAAGGGUCAUGGUCCCAAAGGAAUGAAGGCAGAGGUAUGGGACGGUUUGGUUGACAUUUGGUUGAAACCAGAGUGGAAGAAGAAAUCCGAUGCAAAUCGUUGUAACAGGGCUGCCUUACCUGAUGCAGUGUUGCACACAUGAGGUUCUAUUAACUUAGGUGAACAUAAGAAAAGGAUGGAACUGAAGUUAUUCAAAGUUGAUGACUUGUUAUUGUAUUCAAGUGUUUCCUUGAUCUCAGUAUUAGGAGGAGGAGUUGAAACAUACAGUUUCGUUUAGAGACGUGUAUGCUCGAGUUCUUAAGAAAAAAGAUGGAGAAUAUGUCUUUCAAGGUCGAAGUUAUUUGUUGAGUCAUAUGACACGGCUAUAGUGGAAAAGUAUGGAGAAAACUCUUCCACUCAUCCGAUGAUUGAUCCGAAAGUGUGGGUAGAAGUUUCUGGCCAGAAAAAGACAAGGCAUACAUUUAUGGAUCGUAGCUUAGAUGUUAGAAGAACUAUGUCUGCCCGAUUUGUUGAUGUCACUAGUCAUUCCAGAACCAUGGAGGAAGAUAUUAAGAAAGCUAUGGAUAAGGCAAUGACCUCUUUUGUCCAAACACAUUUGGCGCCGAUGUUGGAGCCAAUCCUUUCAUUGAUUCAAUCCAUGCCAAAAGCACCCAUGCAAAGUGAAGUACCUGAAAAAACUCAUGGAGAUACAAGGUGAAAGAAUGUUUUCCAAUCUAUUUCGAAAACCGGAGUUAAUAUGGAACCUGAGUUGUGAUUUCUGAAUUGGAAAUAAAAUAGAAUAUUAUUGUAAUGUAUAAUGUUUUAGUGUUGUUAAAUAUAUUAAAAACUUGAUUUUUGAAUAUUAUUGUGAUGUAUAUUGUUUAAGUGUUGUUAAAUAUAUUAAAAAAAUUAA